rnacentral:lncRNA from 1 species
UGAAGCAGUUUUUAAAGAAAAGAUCCCAGGCUCAGAAGCUUCUUGUUCCACAACAGAAACGGUUCCACACAACAAAACCUUCCCUGAAGAACCUUUUGCCAUGGAAAAUUCCUUGAAUGAAGCAGUUUUUGAUGAAAAGAUCUCAGGCUCAGAAGCUUCUAGUUCCACUACAGAAACUAAUCCACACAACAAAACCUUCACUGAAGAACCUUUUGCCACGGAAAAUUCCUUGAACGAAGCAGAUUUUGAUGAAAAGAUCCCUGGUUCAGAAGCUCCUGGUUCUGCAACCGAAACUGGUCCACACAACAAAUCAUUCCUUGAAGAACCUGUUGCCAGAGAUAUUUCCUUGAACGAAGCAGUUUUUGAUGAAAAGAUCCCAGGCUCAGAAGCUUCUUGUUCCACAAGAGAAACUGUUCCACACAACGAAACCUUCCCUGGAGAACCUGUUGCCACGGAUCUUUCCUUGGUCAAAGCUGUUUUUGAUGAAAGGAUCCCAGGCUCAGAAGAUUCUAGUUCCUCAAUAGAAACCGGUCUACACAACAAAACCUUCCCUGGAGAACCUGUUGCCACGGAGCUGUCCUUGACCGAAGCUGGUUUUGAUGAAAAGAUCCCCGGCUCAGGAGCUCCUAGUUCCACAACAGAAACUGGUUCACACAACAAAACUUUCUCUGAAGAACCUGUUCCCAACGAAAAUAUUCUGCCAAAAGAACCUGCUGCUGCAUAUCUGGCUUUGGCUGAAGGUAUUCC